GAGGAAGUAAAAGUCGUAACAAGGUCUCCGUAGGUGAACCUGCGGAGGGAUCAUUACAGAGCAUCGUGCCCUUCGGGGUAGAUCUCCCACCCUAUGUAUUACAUACCUCUUGUUGCUUUGGCGGGCCGCCUCGGCCACCGGCUCCGGCUGGUGCGUGCCCGCCAGAGGACCCCCCAACUCUGAAUGUUAGUGUCGUCUGAGUACUAUAUAAUAGUUAAAACUUUCAACAACGGAUCUCUUGGUUCUGGCAUCGAUGAAGAACGCAGCGAAAUGCGAUAAGUAAUGUGAAUUGCAGAAUUCAGUGAAUCAUCGAAUCUUUGAACGCACAUUGCGCCCUCUGGUAUUCCGGAGGGCAUGCCUGUUCGAGCGUCAUUACAACCCUCAAGCUCUGCUUGGCCUUGGGCGCCACCGGCAACGGUGGGCCUCAAACCUAGUGGCGGUGCCGUCUGGCUCUAAGCGUAGUAAUUAUCCUCGCUAUAGGUGCCCGGCGGACGCUGGCCAGCAACCCCCAACUUCUUAAGGUUGACCUCGGAUCAGGUAGGGAUACCCGCUGAACUUAAGCAUAU
rnacentral:rRNA from 1 species